GGGCACUUGAAAGCGACACGACUAAUUGGAGCCAGCUUUCUUACAUACGAUUAGACGUUACGUAUGCGCCCCGUUGUUCGGCAUGUGCCAAAUUUAUGAGGGCCUUUUUAGCCAUUAGGCGCGAGCUGUGAGCUGUGAACAGUGAAUUGUGAACAGUGAAUAGUGAGCAGUGAACGGGGAACGGGUAACCACCCAAAUGGGUCACAAAACUGUCGUCGAUGGGCGGCGGGUCAUCGGGUCAUCGGCAGACAGCCUUCAAAUGCAGAAGCGACGGAUAAUUAACGACUUCCCGGCUUGAGUCACAGUCGUUACCCCAAGUCGGCAAAGUGUUGCCCAUAAAUAGUAACUACUGUUCAAAAGUGAAGGGCUGCGCAGUAUCCUGGCGUAUACUGCAGGAUGUGAGGCGCCCGGGAUGUCCGGAUAAAACAAAGAGCAUUUGCACACUCUACAAAAAGAAGUGCUCUCUCGCUCUCAAAGAAAAGGUUUAGUUUAUUAAAAUAAAUGCUGUUAAAAAUGCCUGCAUAAAGAUAAACUUGAAACUAUUUAAAAGCAAA